rnacentral:snRNA from 1 species
GGAUGUGAGGGCUAUCUGGUUGCGACAUCUGUCACCUCAUUGACUGCCAGGGGCUGAUUUGGCUGAAUAGGCAGGUGUCCCCUUCCUCCCUCAACGCUCCAUGUGCGUCUCUCCCAAAGAUGCACGCUCGGUGGAAGAGUAUGACCUUCCCGAUAGAGGAGGAGUGGUCUUCAGUCAAGGGUAUACAAGUAGCUGUGCUCCCCUGCUAGAACCUCGAAACAAGCUCUCAAAUUAUAUUACAAAGCUAUAGUAAUAAAAAUAUGGUAUUGGCACAAAACAGACAUGU